rnacentral:rRNA from 1 species
UUUUACCAGACCCGGAAGGCGCGGGCCUUAGUGGCGGACGGGUGAGUAACGCGUGGGGAACCUGCCCCGUACCGGGGGAUAACACCUGGAAACAGGUGCUAAUACCGCAUAACAGAAGGGGACGCAUGUUUCUUUCUUGAAAACUCCGGUGGUACGGGAUGGACCCGCGUCUGAUUAGCUGGUUGGCGGGGUAACGGCCCACCAAGGCGACGAUCAGUAGCCGGCCUGAGAGGGCGGACGGCCACAUUGGGACUGAGACACGGCCCAAACUCCUACGGAAGGCAGCAG